UACGUAGGGUGCAAGCGUUGUCCGGAAUUAUUGGGCGUAAAGAGCUCGUAGGCGGUUUGUCGCGUCUGCUGUGAAAACCCGAGGCUCAACCUCGGGCCUGCAGUGGGUACGGGCAGACUAGAGUGCGGUAGGGGAGAUUGGAAUUCCUGGUGUAGCGGUGGAAUGCGCAGAUAUCAGGAGGAACACCAGUGGCGAAGGCGGAUCUCUGGGCC
rnacentral:rRNA from 1 species